rnacentral:rRNA from 1 species
CUUGGUCAUUUAGAGGAAGUAAAAGUCGUAACAGGUUUUGCUAAGCAACAGUCYUUCUGUAGCAGAGCUUAACGGAGACCUGCACCCGAGAGGGGGUAAGCGACUAUAAACAAGUUACUGGAGCAAGUCACCCAGCUGGCAACACAAUCGAAUUGCGGGGACGCUUUAAAGCCUACCAGACCAACCACUCUCCGGAGAUGGGGCCAGCACACGCUGGAGGUCACAACCGGGAGGAUGCACAAUAAGCAAUCCGCAGCGGCAUCCGCCGUUCACAGACAAGUGGUUGUGGGUAGGAGAACCCUAUCUAAGAUAUAGUCGGGCCCUGUAGCAGUCACAGGGGCUUCUGCGUCCGUAGGUGAACCUGCGGAAGGAUCAUAAAAAGCGAUACCGCAAGGUACCCGCACCCGUGUCUACAUACUCUUGUGCUUUGGCAGGCCGUGGCCUCCACUGUGGGCUCUGCCUGCAUGUGCCUGCAGAGGACCAAACUCUGAAUUUUAGUGAUGUCUGAGUACUAUAUAAUAGUAAAACUUUCAACAACGGAUCUCUUGGUUCUGGCAUCGAUGAAGAACGCGCGAAAUGCGAUAAGUAAUGUGAAUUGCAGAAUUCAGUGAAUCAUCGAACUUUGAACGCACAUUGCGCCCUGUGGUAUUCCGCAGGGCAUGCCUGUUCAGCGUCAUUAUAACCACUCAAGCCUGGCUUGGUAUUGGAGUUCGCGGUCCGCGGCUUCUAAAAUCAGUGGCGGUGCCGGUUGGCUCUACGCGUAGUAAUUCUCUCGCGAUUGAGUCCCUCCGGUUGCUUGCCAGAACCCCCAAUUUUUAAGGUUGACCUCGGAUCASGUAGGGAUACCCGCUGAACUUAAGCAUAUAAUAAGCGGAGGA